UGACAGUACUCCUACGGGGAGGCAGCAGUGGGGAAUAUUGCACAGUACGGGGGAAACCCUGAUGCAGCCAUGCCGCGUGUGUGAAGAAGGACCUUCGGGUUGUAAAGCUACUUUCAGUAGGGAGGAAGGUAGUGUAGUUAACACCUGCAUUAUUUGACGUUACCUACAGAAGAAGCACCGGCUAACUCCGUCGCCAGCAGCCGCGGUAAUACGGGAGGGUGCGAGCGUUAAGUACGGAAUUACGUGGGACGUAAAGCGCAUGCAGGCGGCCUAGUUAAGUCAGAUGUAGAAACGGCCCGGGGACCUUUAACCGUACGGUAAGUUGCUAUUUAGUAAACGUGGCGAGGCUAGAGUCUUGUAGGAGGGGGGUAGGAAUUUCAGGUGUAGCGGUGAAAUGCGUAGAGAUCUGAAGGAAUACCAGUGGCGAAGGCGGCCCCCUGGACAAAGACUGACGCUCAGAUGCGAAAGCGUGGGGAGCAAACAGGAUUAGAUACCCUGGUAG
rnacentral:rRNA from 1 species